GAGUUCUGGAAUCUUUCUCUAGAACCAAUGUAUACGUAUACGUGGUCGGAGGAUCAUGUUAAGAUUUUUUUUAUUCAUCAAUUCGUUCUUACAAAAGAAAAAUGCGAUACAAUGCACAACGCUGUUCGUAUUGAUAAUUAAGGUUACAGUUAUAUUACAGUUAUAUUUGGAAUAUGGAUAAUUUUAAUUCUGACGUGAAAGGCCUUUGCCAGGAUUUAUUAGAGUGACAGAUCAUUAUUAUUCGUAACUGAUUACAUGAGUGAGAUCAAGGAAAAUAUCUUGAGCAUCGUCUACGGGGAAUGUGACAAUUUCAUGGGUGUCUAACUCGAUUUUCUACGGGUCGUCAUAAGUAUUCUGACAUUGGUAUGUUUAGCUGGCUUUUGUAGUAGGAUGGAAUAAUGGAAGUUACGACAUUAGGCGUUUAGUCGGUUUUUUAAAAUUAGAAGCGACGUAUAUGUCUGCUUCUAGGUAACGAUAGUAUUUAUCCUGUUUUACCAUCGGGUAAUAAUUUACCAUUAGGUACUACAGACGUUGUAGGAAAAUUCUUUAUUCACGGUCGGUAAGGUCGAUUUAGAUUCUUUGUAAGCAACGCUCCUUGCUGCUACCAGUCUUCGUGUUUGUGGUAUAUGGAAGUAAACAGUCGCUAUGAAGAGUCACGUUAGCGAUAAGCCCUGAAUUCUUGUAAUAAAGAAAACGAGGUUAUCGUUACCUUCGGCAAGACUACUUUAUGUUUUUCCACGAUAAUAAAAAUAAAAACUCCACGCUGAGAGGUUACAGUCGAAGGAUAUAAAAAACAAGGAUCACUAACAGCGAUGACACUUUACUGCUGACGAUCGAGAUACAGCCCAAUCUUAACAGAUGUAUCAUCUCUCCUUUGUGUGACACCUUAUAGCAAUUUGGAGGUUAUGAGGACUGUGCUUUGUGAAGUGACAAGCUUUGUACGACGUAUAAGCUAAAUGGAAUGUUCCCUGGAGAAAAUCCCAGCGAUUGCUGCAAAGCCUCGUAAACCUAAUCUCGUUCGGCGCGUCACGACGGUGUGGAGGUUCUCGUGACGUCAGUCGACGCGUCAUCACGUGGGCUGGACUCCUUACGUGGAAAUGAAUAUCACAGGACACGACGUGCGUCUUAAUCUAGACUGAAAAUUAGAGCCCGAGCGUCCUUUGUAAUAUGCGUCUUCGAUAGGGUCGUCAAAUUUGGAUCUUCCUCAAUAAACAAAGGAAGGAACAGGAUCUUGAUUAUAUAUCCAAUAUCUCUUGGACAAUGAAGCGACAAAUAUUCUGAAACACAUAACGAUCUUCUGAAACAGCGAUCGAGACUCCUGCGGAGACGCACUCUAUCGUGUCCUCUCAUCGACCUGUAAUCGUUCCUGUUCCUGGUGGGGAAAUACCCGGCGCGAAGGGAACGAGACUAAGAAAUCAGACUGCUCUCGGACUGGCUUAUCCUCGUAAUCUCAUCAGCCAACGACACAGACUCAUUCGUCCUCAAUUAAACGUCAGUCUCGUGUACGUGGAGAUCCGCCAAUAGGAUUCCAGAAGCGUGCCCGCCCGUGUAAAACGUUUUCUAUGAAAGGAUUCUUUGGUGAACCGGAAACACGAGGAGACCCAACUAGCGGCAGUGACUGGGCAAAGCUAUUUAAGAUUAGAAGGAAGUGCGCAGGAAGUCGAGGAGGAAGGGUCGCCCGCUCACAAAUGCCGGCGCGGCCUUGCGCUGUGAACGAGCUUUGGUUUAAAAAAAAACAAAAAAAAAGCGUUUUGAACGCAGGGCGAGAUAUUACAGCGUAUCUAUUAAUAACUUUAAAUGCGAAUGGCACGAUCUACCGUUUUAGUACAUUUACGCGCUUCUUCAAAUUCCUUAAUGUUAUUUUCGACCUUACCGUCCUGAGCACGCUUUGAGCUAAUUUUAACCAUUAUAAAAAGACGUCGUAACAGAGAAAAUAAUUAUAGGGCAUUAUCUCAUACAGCGAACUACAGUUCCUUGCUGUACGUAAGAGCAACGUGUACGCGGCACGUACCAAUAGCGAAAAUCUCGAGGUUAACAGCGAAUCUUUUGAGAGAACCGUUCCGCAUCCACGCAGCGAUUCCGUAAACGUUCCUGGGGAUUCGUCGCGGCAGUGCGAAAGUCGAAAACAUUGCAUUGCGAACGGUGAAACGUGCGUGGCAGCCUUGCGGACUCUCGGUUCUUAAAAUACAUUGCCAGUGCUUAUACACGAAAUUAUUUUAAAGCUUGUGCUAGAUGGAUACGCAUCCUCUCGUUAUUCCAUGAACUAUACUUAUUAUAAGUAAGGGUAUGUGCAUAAGGUACAGAGACAAGGCGGGAAAUUUGAAAUAUUUCUAAGCAGUAUCAUUUCUUUCACGAAGACGUUCCUAUCUGACGUAUUAUAAAUUCUUUACCGGCGUCUUCGUUGGAUGGUUAUCUAGGUAAUGCUAAUAGGAAACGCAAUGGUGCAUUAUGGCUGUUGGUAGGACACAAAAAAAUAAUAAUAGAGCAGUCGGGUCACUAUGGCGACAUUAUCCCGUUAGGCUUCAAAGUAUAUUUCCUACUUGUAAGUAAGGACGACGCCCGUGCAGAAAUCUACGCGUAGCAAUGACCCACAAAUUAGUACUUAGACGCCAUCUAACAGUUAAUUCACAGCUGACAGAGACGCGUAUCGACGCCCAGUCUGUAGUAUGUAUUUAGUACACACUAAAUACUUGUAUAAUAACUGGUUUGUAAGAGAAAAGAAUUUAUCAAGGAAUUUCAAUGCACCACGCGCGACCGUAGUCCCCCUGGAACCCUUUAGAAGUAAGAAAUAUGUACUGUCAGACAUUUUUGAAAAUUGCUUUUCUUCCUUAGACACGAGGAACACAGACGUUAAAUAUAGUGGCAUUUUUUUCCUCGGUAGUUACGAGUAUUUCGGUGCAGGCUUAUGUUUCCCAUUUGAAGGGUGCCCUAAAUUAUCCUGCUUUAACACCCAGGUUCCCGAAUUAGCAGGCCCUUACGCGAAGAAGGCCCCACCUUUGCAGGCAGACAAUAAUAUUGACAAACUCGAAGUAGACGUGACGACACCCGCUCGGCACGGUUACAUUGUCGAUGAAUUUCUCGGUAUAGAUCGUUCCCAAGAUCUGAGCUGACUGCCUAACCCCCACCCAAUGGUAGCUACGUACCUGAAAGUUCAUAGUCACCCUGUCUUCCUUCCGUCCUGAAAACAAUUUUAAAAUAGUCGUAAACUCUCGUCGACCUCAUGUUUGCCGCGUUAACCUCACUCAUUGUGUCUCUGCGACGAUCCGCUCGCUCUGUCUAGCGGUUGGGUUACCUAUAUACAGGUAUACGCGCCGUAUCGAAGCUAAAGGAAGGACCUGCCAUUUUCAUCGAGUCCUACAAGGUUGUAGCCACUGAAAAAUAAUCCACUAGAUUCAGCGAGUUAACCUGAGCACGACUUUCGCUGCUAGUCAAGGACAGAUCCAAUGGGACUCCGUUGUCCCAGUGGAAAACAGCUGUCUCGUCGCGAAGCAGCCAGUAGCUCGCAAGGAGAACGGAAAAGGUUAGCGAAGCAUAAUAAGCCAAGGCAACCGAAUACUGUCCGACUCUACCGCUUCAUUCGAACGUUCGUUCGUUUGUCCGUUCGUACCAUCCGCACAUCUGGUCAUCGCUCCCGCCUCAGCUAUUCGUAGUCACCAUACUCGCUACUACCUACCUACAACACUACCUACCCCUGGUGAGAUAUAUAAACCACUCGCGAGAACAAACCACAUUGUUUCAUUGUCGUGUAAUAUAUUGUUUUCUAAUAACUAUUAGGUAUGGUUAGGUCUGUUAGAGAAGAAUAGCAAAUAGUUAUGGGGGAAAUAUCGGUGAACUAGAAUGGCUAUGGUUAUUUGUUGACAGCGAUGGGUUAUGAAUAAUCGAAGUUUUGUUACGUUUUAUAUUUAUAGAAAAAGGUUAGGUUAUCGUAAACGUAAUACUCGCUCGUUUCCUUUACUAGGUACGGGUAUAGUUUAUGCUUUAAAAUCGAAUAUGGAUGUCCAUUAUGCUCGCCAGGGAAUCAAUAGUACUUCACACACAAAGCAUCAUCGACCUGACGCAACGCAUAAAUCAAUGCAAAAGUUGGGAGACGCAUCCGCCCAGGGAAUUAUUAGACGAUGUCAAUAGAUAUGAAAAUGUUAAUAGUAAUUUGUACAGGAGCGAUACAGGUGAAGAUUCGGUAAGUGAGGAAUUUCCAAGAGUUCCGCAUUGCCAUCGGCGACAGAUGGCUGCUCGCGCAGAGGACGUUCGAUUUUCGUGAAUUCGGGCCACUCGAUAUCGAUCGAUCGACAUUGCAAUGUCUGUCGACAAAACCUCGUCCUCUCGCAUGCGUUGGAUCUUGUCCAAAAGAGAAAUACAGCCUGUUCCGUGAUCGAUGACUAUUUAAUCGUUAGGACAUGCGCCUUCUUACUUCAAGCUUUUAUCGAUCACGUGGCCAAACAAAAAGCCAAGAUAUCGCUCGCGACGCCGCCAUCUAAGGAAGAGGAAUCAAGAUCGAAGACAAAUUUGGAUCGAAACGAUCUCUCGGUAGAUCCUCCCCACGAUCGUAUAAUUGAUCACCGAAAUAGCGAGACGUCUGUAACUCUAUAGACGAUCCCUGAGAGUAGGCAGGUGGCGCCCCCACGUUAAAACGCGGCAAUUUCAACGUUAAUGAUCCAUACGUUUUAAAAGCGGUACGGACGUUGCACAAGGAAGAUUUAACGGGAGGCAGAAAGGGAAUGAGAUAUCAUGCAGGAUGUGAGUGCAUAAUAAGUUAAAAAAUGUUCCUCUGUAUAUCGCUGUCAUUACGUGUGAGAACCGUGAACCGUAUUGAAUAUUAAACCAAUAAACAGAAGGACCAGUUACAGAUGGUCGGGGACACUUGGCAACGCCGCGUCAGGGCAGUCUCGUUCGCAGUGGCGCUUUGCCGUAGGGGGAGGAAGCUAUGGCAGCAGGGUUGCAAUGGUGGGGAUGAGAACGAGAAACUGAGGGGUGGGGUUGAGCGUGUCUGGAGGGGAUAGAGCACAAGUACAGUGAGUACUAUGAGCAGCUCGAGUCGUGCGAACGUACGUAUUCAUCUACUGGGUGUCCCGAAUUUUCAACGAAUGACCUCCACGGGGUGUCUGCGGCACCCUUAAUCGACGCGACGUUCCUGAUUCCUCUGCGUGCCUCAUUCGUCCCCGCUCGGCUGACUCGCAGCCCUUCUAGAACGUUCGGUGCUGCCGCCUACCGGGAAGAAUUUCUAACUGACGCGGUCGAACCCUCAGCGCGCAGGAAUUUCAAAAAGCUACAAAGCCGUGCGGCCCCAAGCUAUCCGUUUGUUUGUAAAGGAUAUACGAUGAUACCUAUUAGGAAGGAGCCACGUUUUGACAGCGAUAUCCAUCGUCCGGGAAAUUUGCGGAUAUUAUUCUUGUUCUAAAUUAAGAUCCGUUUGGACCAUCGUGGAAACAUUGACGAAUAGACAGGCUAGCAAAUAGCCCUCGUUUGAAGUUUCCAAGGCCCUGAGUAUUCUCCGACGCUGCUGUAUACGUGAUUAAAGUGGAUGCGUUUUUCAGAUUUCCUUUCAGGCUAAUCACCUACGUCGUAUAACCUUACAGAAGCCCCCUGGAUGUAUCAGCACGUGCGCCUAUGUGCUAUUCAGAAUGAGUCGCGCGACUCCACCUCCGACCGACCGAGUACAUAUACUCGAUUUAGUGGUAGGGUCUUGGGGAAGGGCGCGGAAUUCAAACUAUUGACUCUCGGCUGCAUGGACGGUAGGAAGGUGCGCGCGAAUACCGCGACCUCUUCUCCCCGACACCAUUCAGACGUUUCUCACAUCGUCAGCGGCCGCCUGCAUCCGCUCAGGCCGGAGACCUUACACGAGUGUACGUGGCGCGUUCAGCAAAACUUGACGAUUCCCUUUUAUCGGGCGAACGGUUCCUUGGACAAAGGAAAUCCCAUACCGGUGGGCAUCCCACCGCGCGUGUACUAUACACUCGGAGCGAGAACCAACUAUAUACACAUGCUCGCACGUAUUUAGCUGUCACAGAACUCACAGAUGAUCUCUCUCAUAUACCAUAGCCACACGGUAUACCUAUAUAGAAGCCUAACGGCAGCAGGUAAAACCGCCUUAAGAAGUUUGUUUGAUUCCUCGUCCUUGCAAGCCACCCUGUAUUGUAUACAAGCGACUACACUCCAUAGUGGAAGAGCCAUGAGGACCAUUGGUGGCAGAGUUCAGAGAGCGAGAGAGAGUGAGACAGAGACAAAGAGCGAGCAAGAGGGACCGAGAGGGGGGCGGGCGCGCGCGCUUACCGUAUCGAGUCGGGGAUGGAUGGUGGAUCCGACAGUGGCGUAAGGGGCCGCCGUGACUGUAGGCAAAGAGAAGUA